rnacentral:tRNA from 1 species
UCCCUCGUAGCUCAGUCGGUAAAGAAUCUGCCUGCCGUGCAGGAAACCCAGGUUUGAUCCCUGGGUUGGGAA